rnacentral:rRNA from 1 species
UACGUAGGGUGCGAGCGUUAAUCGGAAUUACUGGGCGUAAAGCGUGCGCAGGCGGUUUUGUAAGUCUGACGUGAAAUCCCCGGGCUUAACCUGGGAAUUGCGUUGGAGACUGCAAGGCUGGAGUCUGGCAGAGGGGGGUAGAAUUCCACGUGUAGCAGUGAAAUGCGUAGAGAUGUGGAGGAACACCAGUGGCGAAGGCGAGUCCCUGGACAACACCUGACACUGAGGCACGAAAGCUAGGGGAGCAAACAGG